GACGAACGCUGGCGGCGUGCUUAACACAUGCAAGUCGAACGGAAAGGCCCUGCUUUUGUGGGGUGCUCGAGUGGCGAACGGGUGAGUAACACGUGAGUAACCUGCCCUUGACUUUGGGAUAACUUCAGGAAACUGGGGCUAAUACCGGAUAGGAGCUCCUGCUGCAUGGUGGGGGUUGGAAAGUUUCGGCGGUUGGGGAUGGACUCGCGGCCUAUCAGCUUGUUGGUGGGGUAGUGGCUUACCAAGGCUUUGACGGGUAGCCGGCCUGAGAGGGUGACCGGCCACAUUGGGACUGAGAUACGGCCCAGACUCCUACGGGAGGCAGCAGUGGGGAAUAUUGCACAAUGGGCGGAAGCCUGAUGCAGCAACGCCGCGUGCGGGAUGACGGCCUUCGGGUUGUAACCCGCUUUCGCCUGUGACGAAGCGUGAGUGACGGUAAUGGGUAAAGAAGCACCGGCUAACUACGUG
rnacentral:rRNA from 1 species